UAGGGCCUACUUCGACUUCGAUCCGAGAGCCGACCCGAACCCAAAUCCGAACCUUGCAUGCUUUGAUGGUUUGCUUGUGCAUACCUUUUCUCGUCUUCGGCUUUCGUCUUCGGUUCGGAUCGGACACCCGAAGAAAACCGGUCACCUGCGCGUUUUUACCUGUUCUGGUGGUUGAGCUGGGCAGAGAAGAGCGGUGGUACGACGAAGCAGCAAACAGCAACCGUGCGCGCGCGUUGCUGGUAUGUUGCGUCUAUGCUUCUUACCUUUCAGUACCGAAGUCGCCAACAUAAACAUAAGACGUGUGCGGGACCUCGCUGCGCGAGUUUUCUCAGUUUUUUGCUUUUUUCUUUUGUUGCUUGGUGGGUGCUGAACAACUGAACUGAACUCCCGUUCCGUCGCGGAAAAGUGGAGGAGGAAAAAAACGCGCGCGCGAGAUUUUUGCCGGUCGCUCCCCUAGAUGUAGGCAAACCGCGUGAUUUGUUGUGAUUUCGCGGGUUACUCGGAUCGAAGGGUGAUUUCAACGAGUGGGUGAUCGACGAGCGGCGAACCUUCGAAAUUGAAGAAGUUCGGUUUGGGAGGAUAAUUGGGAGACGCAGUGCAGUGUGUGUGUAAACAAUAGUGGCGCUAUUGGCGGCGAUGCAUGACAUAAUACGCUUCGUAUGAAGGAACAUCCGGUCAUUUUUCUGCAGCUCAUCACCGCGGAAGACCCCUACUGCUGAAGUGUCUCCACGGCGCUGCGGUCAACUGAAGAAGACCACGAAAAAAAAACAGAAAAUUAACAUAACGCAUGUGAAUGAGUAAUAAAACGCAUAAACGCGUGACAGUGUAGAACGUCGUAAACAGAAGUUAGACAGAAGGCAGAAGAAUUGUUAGAAGGGGAGAAACAAGAAGACAAGUGCACACCGCAAGGGAACAAGUGAAAAGUGUUCAUCAUUUUUGACGGAGGGUUCCGCUGUGCAGUGAAUCGAUUAUAUCUGGGCCCUCAGAUCUGUGCCAGCGAAGAAGAAUCGUUCUGACCGAGCUCGAAGGAAAAAGUGAAUCAACGAAAGUCUUUUGAAAAGUAAAGCAGGUGUUGAAUACAUAAAAUACACACGACGAAACCCCUAGAACGAAGACGAGGGUCAGAUGUGAACCAUUUUUUCUCGCUGUUAGUUUUGUGCACCGUCGUAGCAACCUGCAGAUGUUUGAAGAAACGACAGUUGUCAACAUGACGAAGGAGGCGAAGCCACUGUAUAGCCAGCAGCCUACUCGGAUCAACUCGACGACGUAGGAAGUUCAGAGCAAGCGUCUGAAUUCAGAGUUCUGCUGAACUCAAUUAACGCCUUAGGGGCUUCUCAGCGGUCCCCUAUCCCUUGGACCGCUUACUUAGAGCGACUCAAAACCCACCGAAAUGCACAACGUAGACAAUAUAGGGGCUUUCUUCCAGACCUGCAAGGUCCUCUGGCAUCUGGAUGCCUUCCGCCGUUCGUUCCGCCAGCUCCAGAAUCACGUCUGCGGUGGGCAGGACUGCAUUUUCUGCGCCCUCAAGGUAUGUAGCUCCUCACGUACUUUUCUCCUUAUAGUCUAUCAAACUCCGCAAUGAGAUAAAAAUGAUAAAAUCAAUUUAACCCGACAACCGGAAGAUCAGCACAACAACCGAAUUCGAUGCCGAUGGAUGGAGGACAUUGCUCCUGGUGGGUAACACACCGUGGAAUGGGGUGAUGUUGGUCGAUCACACUCACGUCUUGAUUUCUUCCCAUUUCUACGCUAAACCGCCCAAGCAAUAGUCGCACUCACGCCACUGUUUACUUUUUGUGUAGAACAUCUCACCACAGACAAACACACGUAACACCUUCAACGAUUUUCAUGGAAAUCCAUCGCCCAGUUCACACUACCAUCAACUGGUGGAAAAGUUGCACGAAUCACUGUGUUGUGCAAUAUCGUAAACAGAAGGCGCUAGUGUUAAACGUCAAACGCAUAGAAAAACGAUGCACGCGCCUCUGGUUGUGAAAGCCACAACUAUGAAAGUUUAAAAUGAUCGUUUAAUGCGUGGUCGAUGGAAAUUUCGCAAGUGUCACGUCUGUUUGUCUGUGAUCUAACUCCCGUCUAGGAACUUUCUAAAUCUAGCCGUGCUUGCGCCUUAGUUUGCUUAUCGCGUCAAACUCCUCACUCCCGGCUAUGAAUCUUCCAAAACUGGCUGCGCUUACGCCACUGUUCACUUCUCACGUCGAACAACUUACUUCCCAAAUCUAACGGCGCUCACGCUACUGUCUACUUUCGAACAACUCGCUAUCGGCAAAAAAUAUUCCGAAUCUAGUCACGCCCACGCCAAUGUUAAUAUUUCGAAUAAAAAAUACAGUAGAAAAACCGAACAUUGUACUAUUUAGUAUUCCGUUCCAUAUUUUUACAAUAAAUACCACUGUAAAAAAUAAAAUAGAAAAACAAUAAGAUGUAACGUGGUCAACCAUACAGUGAAUUGUAAAUGAGGUUUUUACAAUGAAAUGUAUAGGUUGUUAAGUGUCGUAACAAAACAAAACAAAAACCAUACAUUGUAUAGUAAAUAUACUGUUUUAAAUUCUAAUGGGUGGGUUCAAAUAUACCGUAUAUUGUAUGUUUUAAUACAAUAAAAUGUACAGUAAACAUAUUAUUUCUAAUAGUAAUUUCACUACUGGCUAUACAUUGAAUUAGGUGGUUUUGGAAUUGAUCUUCUUUAUUAUGUUGUAUUGUUUUACAUUACCUAAACCAUACAAUAUUAUGUUAUCUUGUCAUUUUGCUCCUGGUUAUGGCAUAUUAGGCGUUCUAUCGAAACGAGCCAGAAAAUAAAGUUCAAUAGAACUCUCGGUGAUAGCACGGACUAGAAGCAAUCAAGUUCAAUAUUAUUCAACGCGCUUUGGCAAUUUUCAGAGAAUCGCCCACGUCUAAGUCUGGGUAGUCUCUGAUUGCAUUAAGUAUAACAUCCCUUGCUCAACAAGCGAGAUAACUGGGUUUUGCAAACUAAGCAUAAUUUGUGGCAACACUUUGAGCGACAUGAUGGAACUAUGCCGAGCGCGCUAAAUGUUAUUAGACCACUAAUGUAGUUGCAUGAAUUGAGUGGCGAUUUACAUACGCGACAUUACAUCUUGCUUAACUGUUAUUUCAACAUUUGAGGUUCCCGUUUGUCUAUAGCUUGGAUUACAUAACAAACUUUUACAUCGAAUUGAAACAUUAGCUAUGUGCUCCAGACUUAGAAGUCGUUUCAGUGUCUACACACCUAGAAAAUAUCAUGUAAUUUUAAGUGUCCUGAACCUGACAUAUACGAGCAUCUUCAAAAACACAAUUUUAGAGGUUAUAACAUGUAAAUUUACGUUUUUCAAGACACCCCAAAAUAAAACUUAUUUUUUCUUAGCGUCUAGCAAUCGCUAGAACCGAUUUGACAGAUAAAACAUAGAAAAGUAAAAUAUUGUCAUGUAUGGGAUUCGAACUCCGGAUCUGCUGAUCGUAAGCCACAUCUCUAACCUCUCGGCUAUUUCACCGAGUUGGAAGGUGGCUGAUGAACGUGAUACUGAUUCUACGUUUCUGGUGAAACGGAUUUGUUAACCAACCAGCACUUACAUGAUGCGCGUAAAAUUGAGUCCAAUUUGUGAUUCAGUCUUGAAAACAUUUACGUUUUUUGGUGAUUCCGUUUCGUGGAAAUUUCAUAAUUUCUAAGUGUGUAGUCCUCGGACCAGGGCACAUGCUAAAGAUGGCUCUAUGUCAAACAUAAAUUUCAUAAUUCGCAUUUUAUUCAGUUGUGAUCAAAAACAAGUGAGAGAAGGUAAGAAAACUCCCCUAAAUGCCAACACAAAAAGGUUCGUGACAUUCGCAUUCCUCUCAUCGCACUCUUCCUACCAUGCCCAUGUUUAGUCUUUUACUGUCAGAUCAGUGUAGCACGCUAAAUAUAUUUUACACAAAAGGCAAUUUACACGGAAAAAAUACACUGUAAUAUUAUUAGGUACCAGACUGAAUACACAAAAUUCAAUGGUUUUCUUUGGUACAUCGAGGUUUUGAAAUAAGUCUAUGAUGUCACUGUUAUCCUUAAUGCCACCUCCAUGUUAAUAAUGUGUUUCAUAGAAUUUGAAACUGAAAAUCAAAAGCUUUUUGAACAGUAGUACAGUACAACAGUAGAACAGUGUCGCUCGAGCUGUCGUUUCUUAAAAUCUGGCAUUUUUUUAGUUUUGUUCAAUUAAGAACAGGAAUAGGACAAAAAAAGAUAAAAAUCACUUCCAUUUAUUCAAAUUGAACCCUCGCACCAUGAGAAAGCCAAAAAUCGACACUAACACAUGGAAAUACGAUUUAUGUAAUUACACGGAGACAAAUUUCGUUCGUUUGAAACAAAAAUAUUCAUGUUUAUUCGGUAAACUGAUAAAAUUUUUAAAACUAAAAUAUUAAUUUUUGAAACUAACUCAAUUACAUAUUGAUUUCUACAUUACCCAUUGAGCCCCCCGUUCCGCCGUCAAGAACAUAAACAAAGCUCUCAAGUUCCAGCUGCAGCACCAAACAAGAUUUCCUCCUGCAAAAAAGUUAAGUAUCUCCAGAUGUUUCCACGAAAUCCCAUUGAUUUCGGGAGCGUAUGUUAUCUACAUGAUUUUGGCAUUGAAAGUGCCACGUGAGAAGCGGGUUUUCCUAGAGAAAGAAAUGACUUUGUAGAUUUAAUUGGAAAACAAAUAUUUCCGUAGGGCUGACCUCCCGAAUAAAAAAUACAGUAGAAAAACCGAAUGUUGUAUUGUAACAGUACUAUUUAGAACCAUAUUGUUACAAUAAACACCACUGUAAAAAUAAAACAUACAAUAACAAUAAGAUGUAAUGUUAGACACCAUACAGUGAAUUGUAAAUGAGAUUUUUACAAUAUACUAUACGGGUUGUUAAGUAUCGUAACAAUAUAAAAAAAUAUUUUUCUCCAUAUAUAUUUUUUUACAAAACCAUACAUUUUAUUGUAAAUGAAUUGUUCGAAAUACUGAUACGUGGGCUUUAAUAUACCGUACAUUGUAUGGUACACGUAUGGUUUCAAACAAUAAAAUGUACCGUAAAUAUAUUGUUUUAAAUUGUAAUUUCACUACUGGUUAUAAAUUUAAUCAUGGUUUUGGAAUGGUUCUCUUUUGUUAUGUUGUAUUGUUUUACAUUAGAUAAACCAUAUAAUGUUAUAUUAUCUCGUCAUGUUCCUUCGAUAAUGGCAGUUCUAGCCAAACUAACCUAAACUCGUCUAAGUCUGAGUAGCCUCUGAUUGCAUUAACAGUUGAAGCUUAAGCUCCCAUGUCCCACCAGCCAGAUAACCGGGUUUUGCAAACUAAGCAUUAUUUGUGGCAACACUUUGAGCGGCAUGAUGGAACUAUGCCUAGCGCGCUAAGUGUUAUUAGACCACUAAUGUAGUUGCAUGAAGUGGGUGACGAGGUACAUGAGUAUCAUUACAGCGUGCUUAACCAUUAUUGCAAUAUUGAGGCUCCAAUUUGACUGAACUGUGAAAUGUGUACAUAACAACUCAUGAGAAAACUGUCAAGUUCGAUUCAACUAUACGUUAGGUUAAAAAGCGAAGACGAACUUAUUUCAGAAGUCGUUUCAGUGUCCAGUCCAGUCCUUAUGUUAAAAAUGUCAAAGAUAAAUCGCAUUUAAUUCGGUUGUUGUACAAGGCAAUUUCACAUGAGAGAAGAGAAAGAAUAGUGUUGAACUCAUCCAUUGAUUUACGGUAAUCUGGCCUGCGUCUUUCCGGGUUGACCUACAUUCGUAUUCCUCUCAUCGCACUCUACAUACCUAGCCCACCAUAUCUCUUGGAUAUGCAGUCCUUAGGACACCUGGUUUACCACUUUAUUUAAACAUUUUAUUGACUUUAAAUAGAUGUUUCAACUUAUUCACUUUUUUCUCUUUCAUUUCCUUUGCAACAAAAAUGUCGCGGACAUCAACAAAACAAAGCACGGAAAAAAUCAUAAACUGAAUAAAAUAUUAAAAAUACACGGAAAAAAAUUGUUUCGGAAUAGUGAAUGGUUCAAACGUAAGAAAAACAGUAUAAUAUAUUGUGCAAAGCUUUUAGCGAACCAUUCCAUUACUAUACACUAUAUUGUAGCUGGUACACUGUAUAGUACAGGAAUGGUUUUCACCAAAUACCCUAUGGUUAGUUUUUAUCCGGGCUGCCACAAAAAAAACUAAACAUUUUUACAUUACAAGAAAUAAUAAUCUUAUCAUUCAAUGCUAUAGAUGGAAACAUUUCAAUUUCUACAAAUAUCAUAACACUAACAUAUAAUAACGAUACCUGAAAUGGUACAGUGAUAGUUUUAAAGCUUACAAUUGUAUCGGAUUUGUAAUCAAAACUUCUUAGUAUUUGUAUUCCAAACUUAAUUUAAGGUGUGUAAUUGCAACACAAAGUGAGUUCUGUUGGUGGCACGACUGGUGCUGUUGUUUGUAGUCAUUUUUCGGCACUACUGUGAAAGCAGUCCUUGUUGGAACCUUCUUCAGGGCUCGAUCUGAAUCAACAAAUCGCAAAUGUUUUCUUCAAACAUAGAACGUCGGGUGCGAAAGAGUAAAAGUUGUUCCACUUUGGUAUCGACUCAUUAGGCAUUAGUUUAGGCCUAUUUCUCCAGCCAAGACUCCCUGUGUGGAUUUGUAUUUAUCUACCAUCGAGCGCCUUACCAGAAUUCCAGCGAAGCAAAAAAGUGAACGUUAGAACAUUUUGAUAACCAAUUAGUCUUGUAGAGGUUUUGAGAACCAUUAUUAAACCUUAUCUCUUAUAUUGGUUUUAUGAUGGAUUUUAAAACCUCUUCUAGCCUAUUUGACUUGGAAAUGUUACUUGGGAAGUCAAAAACCAGAACAAAUGAAGAGUAAACAAAGAUACACAUUAUGAUUUGCAAAGGUUAACAGAUCUCAAAAAAUAAUCCGCAACGGUGUGUACUUUCUAACAUUAAUAAGACAGGUGACAGUGAAAUAUUUCUGCCCUGUUUUAACCAUUCACUGAAUCAUUUAGCUAACGAUAGAAUGACCAUAACAAGUUUUGUUUGUGAAAAAAGCGUUUUUAAAUGGUAACGGUAUCUAACAGCCCAUUUGAUCCUCAUAAAUGUUCAAAACCAUACCUCAUAUCAUUAAUAUCACUUAUGCAAUUCAGUAUCAUAAUUUCUAUUUUAUAUAACUCAUUUUUGUAUAAAAAUGGCCAGUUUUUCAGAACUGGUUCAUUAUGCAACUGAAAUUAGUUGCAUAUUGUUCACAAUGGAACUCAUUGAGGCUGCGCGAGAAGUACAGGAAGCAAUCUUUAAAUUCACGUGAGUUGAUUCCAAACUCGACUAAACAAUUUAAACAAAAACAACCUGAAAGUAAAGUCGACAAUGAUUCCCAUAGUUGUACAGAUAUUUGACUGUGGCUCGAAAACGCCCAUUAUAAUUUUAUUAUUCGCAGUAUCAUAAUAUUGACGAUAAAGUAACUAUAACAUGUACAAUUCCGCAAAAUGUUUUAAAGGGUAACAAUACUCAGCAACCCAUUUGGUCUUUCAUCAAACUUUCCAAAAUGAUAACUGGUAUCAUCAAUAUAAUUUAUCGUAUCAUCCAUUUUUGAUCCAGUAUCCAGAUAACAUGUAUGGUAUAAAAAUGUUUCACUAAUAUAUUG